GCAAGAGGACACUGCUCUUCCCCAGCAAGAUCCACAUCCACCGAGUGAACAGCACCAACAACAUCUCAGAACUUCUCCAGGGCAAUGGCAGUGACCGAGCUGGAGCGAGGAGCUGAUCCUGCUCAUGCUGAACACGUGCCAAAAUCCAGAGACGAGUGGCAGAAGUUGGAGUUGCUCAGCACCUUCCAGGAUUAGAGCCUUUGGGCUGAGCUGGGAUGGAUCCUGCACGGUGCUGAGAGCCUUCUGGGAGGACCAGACCAAGGAUCCCCUUUGCCCAGAGGCACAUUUCGGCUGCGGAGGAGCAGAGUGGGGGCUCUGAUCAAUCAGACACUGGUUUGCAUCAGACAGAUGGAGCAGUCUUCUGCUUUGCUAUGUCCUUCUCCGUCCAGAGGGAUAUUCUCCUG